GUGAGGAAUUUUCCGCAAUGGGCGAAAGCCUGACGGAGCAAUGCCGCGUGAAGGAUGAAGGCCUAUGGGUUGUAAACUUCUUUUCUUAGAGAAGAAUAUUGACGGUAUCUGAGGAAUAAGCAUCGGCUAACUCUGUGCCAGCAGCCGCGGUAAGACAGAGGAUGCAAGCGUUAUCCGGCAUGAUUGGGCGUAAAGCGUCUGUAGGUGGCUUCAAAAGUCUCCUGUCAAAGAUCAGGGCUUAACCCUUGGCCGGCAGGAGAAACUCUGAGGCUAGAGUUUGGUAGGGGCAGAGGGAAUUCCCGGUGGAGCGGUGAAAUGCGUAGAGAUCGGGAGGAACACCAAAGGCGAAAGCACUCUGCUGGGCCACAACUGACACUGAGAGACGAAAGCGAGGGGAGCAAAAGGGAUUAGAAACCCCAGUAGUCC
rnacentral:rRNA from 1 species